AGCGGGAUGGAGAAAUGGUAACUCGUUAGGCUCAUGCCCUAAAGAUGGUUGUUCAAAUCAACCUCCCGUUA
rnacentral:tRNA from 1 species